GUACUCCGGGGAUAACAGGCUGAUACCGCCCAAGAGUUCAUAUCGACGGCGGUGUUUGGCACCUCGAUGUCGGCUCAUCACAUCCUGGGGCUGAAGUAGGUCCCAAGGGUAUGGCUGUUCGCCAUUUAAAGUGGUACGCGAGCUGGGUUUAGAACGUCGUGAGACAGUUCGGUCCCUAUCUGCCGUGGGCGCUGGAGAACUGAGGGGGGCUGCUCCUAGUACGAGAGGACCGGAGUGGACGCAUCACUGGUGUUCGGGUUGUCAUGCCAAUGGCACUGCCCGGUAGCUAAAUGCGGAAGAGAUAAGUGCUGAAAGCAUCUAAGCACGAAACUUGCCCCGAGAUGAGUUCUCCCUGACCCUUUAAGGGUCCUGAAGGAACGUUGAAGACGACGACGUUGAUAGGCCGGGUGUGUAAGCGCAGCGAUGCGUUGA
rnacentral:rRNA from 1 species